AUUGAUUGGAGGCACCUGGUGAUCGUGCAAAGAUGCCAAAAUCAGGACGUUUUGCUCUUCAAAGCUGAAACUAUUAAUCGGUUGUAUUUAUUAACGAUUGUAUUGGAGACAUCAACUAAGCUUCGGAUUGCGUCAUAGUUCCACAUUCAAGUCGCAGUAAAACAUGGCCACCUGGUCAGAGGAUCCCUACCGGAGAAAAUCAAUCCGUCACCAUGCGUACAGGAAGGAAGCCUGUGCUGGGGGAGAGAUACUGCUCUUAAUGACAUGUCUCUGUGUGCCUGCACCAGAGGGGGAAGUAACCGGAUAUUUAAACAGAGAUAAGAGUGUGUGCCAAAGGGGCUGGGAUUGGAUAUGACUGAAACCCCAUGGCAACCGGCCGCUGCUAUUGGAUAUGGAAAGAUCUAAUACAUCCUCGGUCCGGGACUCGGCCAACUUCCACAGCUGUCACACAUUUUCAACAGAUUCCUCCGGCCCUGGACGAAGCUGUGGAGAGAGAGAGAGAGAGAGUGAAAGAGAGAGAGAGAGAGAGACAUUCUUGCGCCAUUACACAUGGCCUAAAAUGAAUUAACAUUAACAUCUGAUAUUGUGGAAGUGGGAAAUUUGCCACCCCGACCUUGCCCAAAGCACUCCGGAACUCGGGGUCAUGGAUUUAUUAUCUCAGAUGGCCCACUGAGGUCACCAGGGGCUGUUCCACCCCCCCGUUCAGUGUUCCGGCAAAAAAAACAAAAAAAAAAAACAAAUAACCCCGCAAGCCUUAAGUGUGCUAUUCAUUAAGUACACUGCACGGUGUAAUAGUGGAGUGGUGGUUUUUUGGACUUGUAGGCUUGGGAGACACAUGUUACUGUUGCUCUCUCCGGGUAUCUGUCAUAGGAACGGCAUGUCUCAUCCCCAAUGAGAGGCCAUUCCCAGCUGUUGAUCCACAGCUCGGCCGUGCAGCCUUCACCCCCCCACCCCCCCCCUCCGGAGCAGUCGCAGACACACAAACAGGAUGCCUCCCCGUGUACGACUGCACAAGUGUGGAAAAGAAUCCUAACCCAAUGCCAAGCUUUUUUUU